rnacentral:rRNA from 1 species
GACGAACGCUGGCGGCGUGCUUAACACAUGCAAGUCGAACGGAAAGGCGCUGCUUUUGUUGGUUGCUCUAGUGGCGAACGGAUGAGUAACACAUGAGUAACCUGCCCUUCACUUUUCUAUAACUUCACGAAACUGAGGCUAAUACCGGAUAGGAUCUCCUGCUUCUUGGUGGUGGUUGGUAUGUGUCGGCGGUUGGGGAUGGGCGCGGGGGUUAUCAGCUUGUUGGUGGGGUAGUGGCUUACCAAGGCUUUGACGGGUAGCCGGCCUGAGAGGGUGAGCGGCCACACUGGGACUGAGAUACGGCGCAGAAGCCUACGGGAGGGAGCAGUGGGGAAUAUUGCAAAAUGGGCGGAAGGCGGAUGCAGCAACGCCGCGCGCGUGAUGACGGCCUUCGGGUUGUAAAGCGCUUUCGCCUGUGACGAAGCGUGAGUGACGGUAAUGGGUAAAGAAGCACCGGCUAACUACGUG